UCCUCCAGCUCCAGCAGAACUGGUUCAGCCUGGCUGUUCCCAUGUGUUGUUUUGGAGUGUGUUUUUUUUUCCCCACUCCCCGCUGACGAGACAGGGAGAUGUCAGGUGGACAGGGGCAGCACAGCUCGUCCAUCUCAAUGCACGGCCCAGUCGCAGGGAACAGUGAUGCAACGCUCGCAGCUCCAUAUUUCAACAGCCUGCGGGACAGUGAGAGACUGAACCCGUGAUGAACUGAUAAUCAUGAUGAACAUUGUGACUAGUGACUGACGGCGACCGGGAGAUGAAGUUAACAGCGUGUUCUCCACCAGGUGCUUUCGCACUGUUCUCACUGCUGAACCUGGUUGUGAAAAUAAGGCGCCCACACCUCUCAACCAUCUGGUCCUGCUUCCUGCUGCCAUGAACCCAGCACACAAGUACUUCUCAUAGGUCCUGUGCACUUCCCCCCCCAUGUGGCAGACAUUGGCAUCACAACCAAAGCCAAACAACACAGGCUCAUGCUCCUCCACUCAUUUCAUUUGGAAUGUGCUACGGCGUGCGCUUAGCGUCCCGGCGCACAGCCGCCCCAAUCCCAUCCCAAGCUGCUGACCAGGGGAUUGAGGUGGGAAGGCCGGGCUCAGAGGGGAUUACGACUCGCCGCUACGGAACUCGCACACUCUCUCUCCUUUUCACUCUCUCUCUCUCUCUCUCUCUCA